rnacentral:ncRNA from 1 species
ACUUAACUUACACAUGCAAGUAUCAGCACCCCUGUGAAAACGCCCUUUAACUCCUUCAAGGGGUAAGGAGCUGGUAUCAGGCACACAAACCUUAGCCCAAGACACCUAGCUAUGCCACACCCACAAGGGAACUCAGCAGUGAUUAACAUUAAACAUAAGCGACAGCUUGAUUCAGUUAAAGUAAAAAGAGCCGGCUAAUCUGGUGCCAGCCGCCGCGGUUACACCACGUGGCUCAAAUUGAUUCUACUCGGCGUAAAGCGUGAUUUAAGAGACUUGCCCAUGGUGUUAAAAAAGCACUAAGCUGUGACACGCUUGUCUUUAAGAAACCCCAAAACGAAAGUUACACCAACAGCACUAACUUGAACCCACGACAGCUUGGAAACAAACUGGGAUUAGAUACCCCACUAUGCCUAGCCGUAAACUUUUAUUUACAUCCAAAUCGCCCGGGAACUACGAGCAAAGCUUAAAACCCAAAGGACUUGACGGUACUCCAAAUCCACCUAGAGGAGCCUGUCCUAUAAUCGAUAACCCCCGCUUAACCUCACCUCUUUUUGCCUUUCAGCCUGUAUACCUCCGUCGUCAGCUUACCACGUGAGCGCUACCGAGUGAGCCCAAUGCCUUCACGCCAACACGUCAGGUCAAGGUGCAGCUAAUGAAGAGGGAAGAGAUGGGCUACACUCUCUACCUUAGAAAAAACAAAAAACUAUCUAUGAAACCUAGUUAGAAGGAGGAUUUAGUAGUAAAAAGAAAACAGAGUGUUCUUUUUAACCUGGCACUGGAGUGUGUACACACCGCCCGUCACCCUCUUCAUAGUCUCACUAAAUUAUUUUAACCAAUUUUUGACUCUUAGAAGAGGCAAGUCGUAACAUGGUAAGUAUACCGGAAGGUGUGCUUGGAUU